rnacentral:rRNA from 1 species
AACGAACGCUGGCGGCAUGCUUAACACAUGCAAGUUGAACGAGACCUUCGGGUCUAGUGGCGCACGGGUGCGUAACGCGUGGGAAUCCACCCUUGGGUUCGGAAUAACUCAGAGAAAUUUGAGCUAAUACCGGAUGAUGUCGCAAGACCAAAGAUUUAUCGCCCAAGGAUGAGCCCGCGUAGGAUUGGCUUGUUGGUGAGGUAAAAGCUCACCAAGGCGACGAUCCUUAGCUGGUCUGAGAGGAUGAUCAGCCACACUGGGACUGAGACACGGCCCAGACUCCUACGGAGGCAGCAGUGGGGAAUAUUGGACAAUGGGCGAAAGCCUGAUCCAGCAAUGCCGCGUGAGUGAUGAAGGCCUUAGGGUUGUAAAGCUCUUUUACCCGGGAUGAUAAUGACAGUACCGGGAGAAUAAGCCCCGGCUAACUCCGUGCCAGCAGCCGCGGUAAU